GCAGAGUUUAAGCCUCGUACCUUUUGCAUCAUGGUUUAGCAAGAAAAUAUCAAGCAAAGAGCACUUUAGUUUGAUUCCCCGAAACCAAGUGAGCUACUCCAAGACAGCCUAUUAAGGGCGUACCCGUCUCUGUGGCAAAAGAGUGGGGAGAGCUUUGAGUAGAGGUGACAGACCUACCGAACUUGGUUAUAGCUGGUUGUCCAAGAAUUGAAUAGGAGUUCAGCCUUUUGCCCUCUCCCCAAGACAAAAGAGUUAGUCAAAGGGGGUACAGCCCCUUUGAAACAGACACAACUUUCCUAGUAGGGUCAGAAUCAAAGAAUACCAGGGAAUGUGUUUUAGUUGGCCUAAAAGCAGCCACCCACAUAGAAAGCGUUAAAGCUCAUACACCCUAUUUUGAUCAUGUUAUUCCACCCCCCUAAUAUACACUGGACCUCUCCAUCCAUAUGGAAGAGAUCAUGCUAAUAUGAGUAAUAAGAGACGACUCUCUCCCUGCACAAGUAUAAAUCGGAACGAACCCCCACCGAAUAUUAACGGCCUCAAAGAAGAGGGGACUGGAACAUUCACUAGAAAAGCAUCCACCGUUAACCUUACACUAGAGUGCUUACAAGGAAAGACUAAAAGAAGAAGAAGGAACUCGGCAAACUAGCCCCGCCUGUUUACCAAAAACAUCGCCUCUUGCAAAAAUAAGAGGUCCCGCCUGCCCUGUGACUAUUGUUUAACGGCCGCGGUACUUUGACCGUGCGAAGGUAGCGCAAUCACUUGUCUUUUAAAUGAAGACCUGUAUGAAUGGCACGACGAGGGCUAGACUGUCUCCUUUUUCCAGUCAAUGAAAUUGAUCUCCCCGUGCAGAAGCGGGGAUCGCUACAUAAGACGAGAAGACCCUAUGGAGCUUCAGACAUAAAGCAGGCCAUGUCAAACAACCCCUAAAAAGGGCCCGAACUUAGUGGUUACUGCUGGACCUGUCUUUGGUUGGGGCGACCACGGAGUAAAACAAAACCCCCGUGUGGUACAAGGGUACCCUUUAAAACAAGAGUGACAACUCUAAUAAACAGAAAUUCUGACCAAUACUGAUCCGCCAUGAGCGAUCAACGAACCGAGUUACCCUAGGGAUAACAGCGCAAUCCCCUUCUAGAGCCCAUAUCGACAAGGGGGUUUACGACCUCGAUGUUGGAUCAGGACAUCCUAAUGGCGCAG
rnacentral:rRNA from 1 species